rnacentral:rRNA from 1 species
UACGGAGGGUGCAAGCGUUGUCCGGAAUCACUGGGCGUAAAGGGCGCGUAGGCGGCUCAUGAAGGCUGUGGUGAAAGUCCGGGGCUCAACCUCGGAUCGGCCGUGGCGACUCGUGGGCUGGAGCACUGUAGAGGCGGGUGGAAUUCCCGGUGUAGCGGUGGAAUGCGUAGAGAUCCGGAAGAACACCAGUGGCGAAGGCGGCCCGCUGGGCAGUGGCUGACGCUGAGGCGCGACAGCGUGGGGAGCAAACAGG